GAUGAACGCUGGCGGCGUGCCUAACACAUGCAAGUCGAGCGAACAGACGAGGAGCUUGCUCCUCUGACGUUAGCCGCGGACGUGUGAGUAACACGUGGAUAAUCUACCUAUAAGACUGGGAUAACUUCGGGAAACCGGAGCUAAUACCGGAUAAUAUAUUGCACCGCAUGGUUCAUUAGUGAAAGACGGUUUUGCUGUCACUUAUAGAUGGUUCCGCGCCGCAUUAGCUAGUUGGUAAGGUAACGGCUUAUCAAGGCAACGAUGCGUAGCCGACCUGAGAGGGGGGUCGGCCACACUAGAAUGGGACCGCGGUCCAGACUACUACGGGAGGCAGCAGUAGGGAAUCUUACGCAGUAGGCGGAAGCCUGGCGGAGCAACGCCACGUCGGGGAUAGAAGUCUUCGGAUCGUGAAACUCUGUUAUUAGGGAAAAACAAAUGUGUGAGUAACUAUGCACGUCUUGACGGUACCUAAUCAAAAAGCAACGGCUAACUACGUG
rnacentral:rRNA from 1 species